UAAUACGAAGGGGGCUAGCGUUGCUCGGAAUCACUGGGCGUAAAGCGCACGUAGGCGGACUCUUAAGUCGGGGGUGAAAGCCCAGGGCUCAACCCUGGAAUUGCCUUCGAUACUGGGAGUCUUGAGUAUGGCAGAGGUUGGUGGAACUGCGAGUGUAGAGGUGAAAUUCGUAGAUAUUCGCAAGAACACCA
rnacentral:rRNA from 1 species